rnacentral:rRNA from 1 species
CAAUGGGCGAAAGCCUGAUGGAGCAACGCCGCGUGAGUGAAGAAGGAUUUCGGUUCGUAAAACUCUGUUGUAAGGGAAGAACAAGUACAGUAGUAACUGGCUGUACCUUGACGGUACCUUAUUAGAAAGCCACGGCUAACUACGUGCCAGCAGCCGCGGUAAUACGUAGGUGGCAAGCGUUGUCCGGAAUUAUUGGGCGUAAAGCGCGCGCAGGUGGUUUCUUAAGUCUGAUGUGAAAGCCCACGGCUCAACCGUGGAGGGUCAUUGGAAACUGGGAGACUUGAGUGCAGAAGAGGAUAGUGGAAUUCCAAGUGUAGCGGUGAAAUGCGUAGAGAUUUGGAGGAACACCAGUGGCGAAGGCGA